rnacentral:rRNA from 1 species
CACGUAGGGGACGAGCGUUGUCCGGAUUCAUUGGGCGUAAAGCGCGCGUAGGCGGCUCGGAAAGUCGGUCGUGAAAUGCCGGGGCUCAACCCCGGGACUGCGUCCGAUACUUCCGGGCUGGAGGUAGGUAGGGGAGAUCGGAAUUCCUGGUGUAGCGGUGAAAUGCGCAGAUAUCAGGGGGAACACCAAUUGCGAAGGCGGCUCGCUGGGCCGUUCCUGACGCUGAGACGCGAAAGCUAGGGGAGCGAACAGG